rnacentral:rRNA from 1 species
UUAAGCGACUAAGCGUACACGGUGGAUGCCCUGGCAGUCAGAGGCGAUGAAGGACGUGCUAAUCUGCGAAAAGCGUCGGUAAGGUGAUAUGAACCGUUACAGCCGGCGAUGUCCGAAUGGGGAAACCCAGUGCAAUUCGUUGCACUAUCGUUAACUGAAUACAUAGGUUAACGAGGCGAACCGGGGGAACUGAAACAUCUAAGUACCCCGAGGAAAAGAAAUCAACCGAGAUUCCCCCAGUAGCGGCGAGCGAACGGGGAGCAGCCCAGAGUCUGAAUCAGCUUGUGUGUUAGUGGAACGGUCUGGAAAGUCCGACGGUACAGGGUGAUAGUCCCGUACACCAAAAUGCACAGGUUGUGAACUCGAAGAGUAGGGCGGGACACGUGGUAUCCUGUCUGAAUAUGGGGGGACCAUCCUCCAAGGCUAAAUACUCCUGACUGACCGAUAGUGAACCAGUACCGUGAGGGAAAGGCGAAAAGAACCCCGGCGAGGGGAGUGAAAAAGAACCUGAAACCGUGUACGUACAAGCAGUGGGAGCACCUUCGGGUGUGACUGCGUACCUUUUGUAUAAUGGGUCAGCGACUUAUAUUCUGUAGCAAGGUUAACCGUAUAGGGGAGCCGCAGGGAAACCGAGUCUUAACUGGGCGUUAAGUUGCAGGGUAUAGACCCGAAACCCGGUGAUCUAGCCAUGGGCAGGUUGAAGGUUGGGUAACACUAACUGGAGGACCGAACCGACUAAUGUUGAAAAAUUAGCGGAUGACUUGUGGCUGGGGGUGAAAGGCCAAUCAAACCGGGAGAUAGCUGGUUCUCCCCGAAAGCUAUUUAGGUAGCGCCUCGUGAACUCAUCUUCGGGGGUAGAGCACUGUUUCGGCUAGGGGGUCAUCCCGACUUACCAACCCGAUGCAAACUACGAAUACCGAAGAAUGUUAUCACGGGAGACACACGGCGGGUGCUAACGUCCGUCGUGAAGAGGGAAACAACCCAGACCGCCAGCUAAGGUCCCAAAGUCAUGGUUAAGUGGGAAACGAUGUGGGAAGGCACAGACAGCCAGGAUGUUGGCUUAGAAGCAGCCAUCAUUUAAAGAAAGCGUAAUAGCUCACUGGUCGAGUCGGCCUGCGCGGAAGAUGUAACGGGGCUAAACCAUGCACCGAAGCUGCGGCAGCGACACUAUGUGUUGUUGGGUAGGGGAGCGUUCUGUAAGCCUGCGAAGGUGUGCUGUGAGGCAUGCUGGAGGUAUCAGAAGUGCGAAUGCUGACAUAAGUAACGAUAAAGCGGGUGAAAAGCCCGCUCGCCGGAAGACCAAGGGUUCCUGUCCAACGUUAAUCGGGGCAGGGUGAGUCGACCCCUAAGGCGAGGCCGAAAGGCGUAGUCGAUGGGAAACAGGUUAAUAUUCCUGUACUUGGUGUUACUGCGAAGGGGGGACGGAGAAGGCUAUGUUAGCCGGGCGACGGUUGUCCCGGUUUAAGCAUGUAGGCUGGUUGUCUAGGCAAAUCCGGAUAAUCAAGGCUGAGGUGUGAUGACGAGGCACUACGGUGCUGAAGUAACAAAUGCCCUGCUUCCAGGAAAAGCCUCUAAGCAUCAGGUAACAUCAAAUCGUACCCCAAACCGACACAGGUGGUCAGGUAGAGAAUACCAAGGCGCUUGAGAGAACUCGGGUGAAGGAACUAGGCAAAAUGGUGCCGUAACUUCGGGAGAAGGCACGCUGGUGUGUAGGUGAAGCCCCUGCGGGUGGAGCUGAGACCAGUCGAAGAUACCAGCUGGCUGCAACUGUUUAUUAAAAACACAGCACUGUGCAAACACGAAAGUGGACGUAUACGGUGUGACGCCUGCCCGGUGCCGGAAGGUUAAUUGAUGGGGUUAUCCGUAAGGAGAAGCUCUUGAUCGAAGCCCCGGUAAACGGCGGCCGUAACUAUAACGGUCCUAAGGUAGCGAAAUUCCUUGUCGGGUAAGUUCCGACCUGCACGAAUGGCGUAAUGAUGGCCAGGCUGUCUCCACCCGAGACUCAGUGAAAUUGAACUCGCUGUGAAGAUGCAGUGUACCCGCGGCAAGACGGAAAGACCCCGUGAACCUUUACUAUAGCUUGACACUGAACAUUGAGCCUUGAUGUGUAGGAUAGGUGGGAGGCUUUGAAGCGUGGACGCCAGUCUGCGUGGAGCCAACCUUGAAAUACCACCCUUUAAUGUUUGAUGUUCUAACGUUGGCCCCUGACCGGGGUUGCGGACAGUGUCUGGUGGGUAGUUUGACUGGGGCGGUCUCCUCCCAAAGCGUAACGGAGGAGCACGAAGGUUAGCUAAUCCUGGUCGGACAUCAGGAGGUUAGUGCAAUGGCAUAAGCUAGCUUGACUGCGAGCGUGACGGCGCGAGCAGGUGCGAAAGCAGGUCAUAGUGAUCCGGUGGUUCUGAAUGGAAGGGCCAUCGCUCAACGGAUAAAAGGUACUCCGGGGAUAACAGGCUGAUACCGCCCAAGAGUUCAUAUCGACGGCGGUGUUUGGCACCUCGAUGUCGGCUCAUCACAUCCUGGGGCUGAAGUAGGUCCCAAGGGUAUGGCUGUUCGCCAUUUAAAGUGGUACGCGAGCUGGGUUUAGAACGUCGUGAGACAGUUCGGUCCCUAUCUGCCGUGGGCGCUGGAGAAUUGAGGGGGGCUGCUCCUAGUACGAGAGGACCGGAGUGGACGCAUCACUGGUGUUCGGGUUGUCAUGCCAAUGGCACUGCCCGGUAGCUAAAUGCGGAAGAGAUAAGUGCUGAAAGCAUCUAAGCACGAAACUUGCCCCGAGAUGAGUUCUCCCUGAGACUUUAAGUCUCCUGAAGGAACGUUGAAGACGACGACGUUGAUAGGCCGGGUGUGUAAGCGCAGCGAUGCGUUGAGCUAACCGGUACUAAUGAACCGUGAGGCUUAACCUU